UCCAUGCAUCCCACUUUUUCUGUCCCGGGAAGUCAAAAAUCCCCGGACGCGCUGAGGAUGUAAAAAUAAAUUGUUAUUCUGGCGAUGCAACAGGUAACAAAUGAUUUUUCUUGAAAUCUACUUGAAAGUCUUGUAAAACACAACAUUUUAUUCUGGGAAUUAAAAAAUAAUUUCAGAACAAUAUCCUAGCAUAAAGUAUGAUACAGUAUGACAUUUUAAAAUGUUCUCAAUUUUAAGGACAGCAUCCCUUUGUGCUUUAGCUUUUAAAAGCUUUUAAAAUUGGUUUCAAGACAGGACAAAUGUAUCUUGGGAUGACAAUUAAUAACAGAUAUAUAGUUCAAA